UAUGCUUCUCGAUCACUUUUGCAUCUUCUUGAAGACCUCGAAUAAGGCCACCGUGAGCCAAAGAUUUUCUGAGGAGUAGCUGCAAUGCAGUCAUUAAGUACAUGGCCUCACCGAGAGGAGCAGGUGUCUCAACAGCAACGAGACAAUGAGGAGAUGGAGACGACGUCAGCUGCUGCUUCGGGUGCUAUUUGAAGCGGGCAACUGUUUACUAGAUAUUAGGGUUGGUUUGGUGUCUGAUUUUCCGGAACAUUUGAUGCGGGCAAGGUCUCCAGAUGGUCUAACUUCCUGGUAGCCCAAUUGAAGAUGAAACCAGAUUUUCUAGGGUUGAAAAAAGAACCGGAAAGGAAAUUUCACCAACCUUGUAUAGCCAAUUAGGGUUUCUUCACUCCUUUUCGUUUUUUAUUUUAUGUGAAUUCUCUGAACUCACAUUGGCAAGCUUAUCUUGUAGUCUUUGAUUCAGUGCAUUGGUCUAAAUUUAAGAUUC